GCGUCCAGCCCCAGCCUCCCCCACCGGCCUGCCACGGUGACCACACUCAGCUCCCUGCAUUCCUUCUCUUGAAAGGCAUUUCUUCAUCGAGUGCCAACCCUGGCUCCUGUGCGGACACGGCGGCCGGCGAGACAGUGAAGCUGGCCGAGAGUCUGGUGGGACGACCCUGGGGGUUGUUGCCUGCCGCGGGCACAGCUCCAGAGUCCUGACCUAUGUCUGAGGGGCAGACGACAUCCCAAUUGGACAUGAAAGUUCAGCCUCAGGCUGAGGACGGGGUGGAGCUAACACCCUCCAGGGCCGACCCCGAGACUCAGCCCUGAGAUGCUCUCAACACCCUGGAUACCCCAGAGCCGCAGAUUGCAUGGCUCGGGCUCCUGAGGCCACCCUGCUCCCCAGAAGAACCUGGUCGUCUUCCCCGUGCCCUGCAGCAGGAACACACGCUCGUCUAGAAGAGGAGGGAAGGCUCAGCGUGCGGCCGCCUGGCGGGAAUCAGCACAGACCUGCCAAGCACCCACAAAGCACUGACCUUUCCUUUAACCUCCCGCGUGCCUGGGCGCGUCCUGCUAAAACGAAAUGACGUGUGGCAGACCAGUGGGGAAGGGCAGAUGUGAACCCGGGACAGUGAACCACCAGCAUGUCCAGCUGCGGGGCUGGGACCACUUCAGGACGUGAUCAGAUCAAGGGCAGGCAGGAGGGCCGGCCCCGCAGCCACAGUCUGACCACAGAGCGACACCGUGAGCUGGAGUGACCACUGGGGAGGGACGGAGCCUGGAACCAUCAGGGCGCGCCUGGCUUCCCCCAACCCUGUGUGGGCAGCUGCUGGUGUUCUGCCAGCCCCCACCCGGGCUCCCCCGGGCUCUACCCAUCACCCCGACAGAUGGACUGAGUCAGGGGACUCCCAGUGAGAGUCAGCACCCUGCUGCUGGCAGGUCACACACCUCAUCCAUCACACGGGACCGCUGGCAGGGUCUCAGGAACCCCGACACCUUCUGAGGCCUCUCGCGAGUGAACGCCCUUUGACCAGGCCUUGCGGUGGUUCGGGGAAGAGACGUCCAUGAGGCAAGUGUAUCCUGUGAGCCUGGCCCAUCACCCGACCUCCAGGCUUCACAAAACUUCAGAUCUGAGCAACACGCAGUUGUGACCCUGCGGCUCCAGAGCUCCCUCUCCAAGUGACUUCUCCGGGUCCCGCAGAGCAGGCCCAGCAGAUCCCAGGCCGACCUGCUAGGACCCCGGCCUCCCACCCACAGCAGGGUUUUCCUGUGGUCCUAAGCGGCCCUCCUUCCAGCACGGCAGGGAGACCUGGGCCUGCAGGGACUUGCCGGGAGAACCCGGGGCCACCAGGGCCGUCCUGCGAUGGACAUAGCCUCAGGCCUGGCUCCAGCUUCUAGAAGAGUUCUGCCUCUCGCCACCCACCGUGGCCUGGAAGGCACAUUCCGAGGCGUCGCUUGCUCUGCACAUCAUAACCCUGCUCUGUCUGGUGGCCCGAGGAGGGUGUCACAGACCAGGGGCUGGUUUAGAGCUCCCGGGGGCCCAGUCCACCACCCACGGCGUGUGGCGAGGAGGCUCAGAGGGCUGCGCAGUGUCCUCCAUUCUGGGGGUCUGUCCUUGGGGCUCAGCGGCACCCCAGGCCGUGAGAGCAGAGGCGCUGUCCCCAGCCGUCCCCCGGUGCCGGAAGCUGGGCCCUCAACAGGCUCCUUGGACUCUGAGGGGCUCAGGCUCCCAGAGGCCGCCCUGCCCAGCUGCCCCGAACGGAAGUGUGCAGUGUGUGGGCGUUGGAACAUUCCACCCACCGUGCCUGCUGCCACCCACCCCGGGGACUGGGAAGUGAAAUUGCUUGGUCUGUGCCGGGCAUGGCAGGUGAGGGCCGUGUGGGCACACCAGGCAAAUUUCUCAAGGGUGGCAUGGGAACCCAUCUUCUUCCAGGUGGUGAUGUCCAAGGUGGUGGCGGUGUCCAGGCACCUGGGGUGGGUGCUGAGUGUCCACAGCAGAGGAGAGAUGGGCUAGAUCCCAGGGGGUGAGGGAGACCACCACCCUGUCCACAGGCUGCCUGCCCACAGGGAGGAAGCGACUCUGCGGCCAAUCAGAGGGAGCGUUGGGCCGGCCCAAGGGAUGGGUUUCCACGUGGGCUUCCGCGUCUCUCCUCCCCCGAGGCCUCUUGGGGACAUGGCUGCUCUAGGUGGGGUCUGGUGACCAGGGCCCCUGUUCUCAGCCCUCAGAGAGUCUUCCCUCAGCACCCUGAGAGGCAGCUGUCCUUUUUACUAACCCCUCCCCUUUUCAGGAGAGGAAACUGAGGCCCAGAGGCAGGGCCAGCUGUGUCAUCUGUAGGGCCCAUAGAAAAUGAAAAUGUGCGGGCACGUGGUGGAGCGUCUGUCAUCCCAGCACCUCGGGAGGCCGA